UACGUAGGUGACAAGCGUUGUCCGGAUUUACUGGGCGUAAAGAGCGCGCAGGCGGUCGUUCAAGUCGAGUGUGAAAGCCCCCGGCUUAACUGGGGAGGGUCAUUCGAUACUGAUCGACUCGAAGGCAGGAGAGGGUAGUGGAAUUCCCGGUGUAGUGGUGAAAUGCGUAGAUAUCGGGAGGAACACCAGUGGCGAAGGCGACUACCUGGCCUGUUCUUGACGCUGAGGCGCGAAAGCUAGGGGAGCAAACGGG
rnacentral:rRNA from 1 species